rnacentral:rRNA from 1 species
AAGAGUUUGAUCCUGGCUCAGGAUGAACGCUGGCGGCGUGCUUAACACAUGCAAGUCGAACGCGAAAGGGACUUCGGUCCCGAGUAGAGUGGCGCACGGGUGAGUAACGCGUAAGUAAUCUACCCCUGUAUUCGGAAUACCCCACCGAAAGGUGAGCUAAUACCGGAUACGUUGAGUAAUCAGGAAAGGUGGCNNNNNNNNNNNNNNNCUGUAUAUGCUCCUGUCGCUAGAUGAGUCCGCGGCCCAUUAGCUAGUUGGUAGGGUAAUGGCCUACCAAGGCGACGAUGGUUAGCGGGUCUGAGAGGAUGAUCCGCCACACUGGAACUGGAACACGGACCAGACUCCUACGGGAGGCAGCAGUGAGGAAUAUUGCGCAAUGGGGGCAACCCUGACGCAGCGACGCCGCGUGGAUGAUGAAGGCCCUUGGGUCGUAAAAUCCUGUCAGAUGGAAAGAAAUGCCACAGGGCUAAUAUCUUUGUGGUUUGACGGUACCAUCAAAGGAAGCACCGGCUAACUCCGUGCCAGCAGCCGCGGUAAUACGGAGGGUGCAAGCGUUGUUCGGAAUUACUGGGCGUAAAGCGCGCGUAGGCGGUUUGCUCAGUCAGAUGUGAAAGCCCUCGGCUUAACCGGGGACGUGCAUUUGAAACUGGCAGACUUGAGUAUUGGAGGGGGUGGUGGAAUUCCCGGUGUAGAGGUGAAAUGCGUAGAUAUUAGGAGGAACACCAGUGGCGAAGGCGACUUCCUGGCUUGUAACUGACACUGAGGCGCGAAAGCGUGGGGAUCAAACAGGAUUAGAUACCCUGGUAGUCCACGCCGUAAACGAUGAGUGCUAGGUGUCGGGGGUAUCGACCCCCUCGGUGCCACAGCUAACGCAAUAAGCACUCCGCCUGGGGAGUACGGUCGCAAGACUGAAACUCAAAGGAAUUGACGGGGGCCCGCACAAGCGGUGGAGUAUGUGGUUUAAUUCGACGCAACGCGAAGAACCUUACCAAGGCUUGACAUCCCGUGACAGCUGUGGAAACACGAGAGUGCCUCGCAAGAGGAGCCUGGUGACAGGUGCUGCAUGGCUGUCGUCAGCUCGUGUCGUGAGAUGUUGGGUUAAGUCCCGCAACGAGCGCAACCCUUAUCUUUAGUUGCCAUCAUUCAGUUGGGCACUCUAUAUGGGACUGCCGGUGUCAAACCGGAGGAAGGUGGGGAUGACGUCAAGUCCUCAUGGCCUUUAUGACCAGGGCUACACACGUACUACAAUGGCCGGUACAAAGGGCAGCAACACAGCGAUGUGAAGCCAAUCCCAUAAAGCCGGUCUCAGUCCGGAUUGGAGUCUGCAACUCGACUCCAUGAAGUUGGAAUCGCUAGUAAUCGUGGAUCAGCACGCCACGGUGAAUACGUUCCCGGGCCUUGUACACACCGCCCGUCACACCACGGGAGUUGGUUGUACCAGAAGCAGUUGAGCUAACCGCAAGGAGGCAGGCUGCCAAGGUAUGGCUAGUAACUGGGGUGAAGUCGUAACAAGGUAACC